rnacentral:sRNA from 1 species
CUGCCACCCGGGAUCCCCUUGUUCCACUCUUGAACAGAACAGCACAAGCAGUGCAAGCUUCUCCCAACACUAGCCUGCCAGUGUGCCUCCACUCUGGCCUAGAGGAACUGCACCUCUGGGGAGAGAGGGUAGUUCAGGACUAGUCUUCACUGCAAGUUAUCU